GCCAGGCUGGACGGUGCUUGGAACAACCUGAGAUAGUGGAAGGUGUCCCUGCCCAUGGCAGGGGGUAGAAUGAGAUAAUCUUUGGGGUCCCUUCCUUCUGGGACUUGGUUAUUUUUGCUUUUUUGGCCCAUCCAUAUUCAGGGCCCCUCAGCCUGAAGUGGGGCUGGAAGGAUGGAGCAAACCUGGCUGCUGGCAUUCACUGCUCCCUCUGCUCUCCUGCCUGUGCCAAGCAUGUGGCUGGGGCUGCUGCCUGCAUCCCUGUCCUGGGCCAUGAGAAUUCCCCCUUCCCUUGGCCCUUGUGGUGUGUGAAAACCCUCGGUCAUGCCAGUGUGCCCAACAGCAGUGGGGCAGCAACAUUUCCCCCAGCCCCUCCUCACCCUCCUGGUCCCACAGAAGCUGCCUGGGGCAGGAUGGAGAAAAGGAGAAGGAUCCUCAAAGGUGGGAAGAAAUCUCUGCUGCAGGGAGAUGGGGUGGGGGAAGAAAAGGAACCAGAGGAGCAGGAGACACCUGGUGCUGCACAUGGGGGCUGUGUGUGCACACAGCAAUUUCCCAUCAGCCUGAUGAAAGGACCAGGAGCUCUUGAAGCUGAAGCCAAGGUGAGUAACCUGUGGCUGUCCCAGGGCUGCUGGGGGGAAGAACUCUUUACUCAGGAGCAGCAGGGGUGCUCUGCCAGGAGCUGGGACGUUCAGCUCUUCAGUCACAGCUUGCCAGGAGGGGUUGGGUUGCAGCAUCCCACCUGUGCUGGGAGGAGGGAUGCUGGCCAGGCACCUCCACCCUCAUCCCCACAUUGCUGGUCCAGGGGGAUGCAGGAUGGAGAGGGUUUCCCUCCUUGCUGGGUCUCUGUGGCUGAGCUGGGAGUCCUGGCCAUGGUGGGGCUCCCCAGGGCUUCAGUAGAGGGAAACACAGCCCAGGUUCCAGCUGGGAAACUGGGACUUUGUGCUGGCCUGGGCAAGGCUUCCCUAUCCCAGCCAAAGCUUCUCUGGUGCCUCCUGCCCCAGCAGCAGGAGGAUUUUUCCUCCUCUCAUAUGGAAAAGCAUCUCCCACCACCAUCACACAGCUCCUUUUGCCCUUCCUGGGAUCUCACUUGCACCUCCAAAUUUCCAAGGGCUUCCUGGGCUCUCUAUUCCCCCCCUCCACGUUGCGUUUGGGAUUUGUAUUUCAUUCUUAUUUAUCUCUCCAUAGGUUUGUCCCUGUCAUUGCUGCUGUUCCCAGCUUUCCAGCAGGUUUGCUCUGCAGAGAGCUGCAGGUUGGCUAUGAAAUAUGACAAAGCGUUCAUUUAAAUGCACACCAUGAUGUCGGCCCCAGUUUCUCCCCUGUCGAGGCAAACGCUUUGGCUAAUUAGCAAAACGUGUCAAAGAAAAUGAUUAAUGUCCCAGGAGGAGGCUGAGCUGCCUUUGUGCCAGCAUUGCCUGACUUGUGCUCUUAAAGGUUUUAUUAAAAGAUAAGGGAGCUCGUGA